ACAACCUAACCUGUCAUACAGUGCCAGGUGUCGUGAUGGUCAUGUGAUGGGGAGUGGUGACUGUCAUAGUUGACUGGGGGCGGCCUCGGUGGGCAGGUGACGGGAGAGCUGAGACCCAGGACAGGGACAGCAAAGCCAAGUCCCGGAGGAAGGAAUGAACUUAGUGAGUUAGAGGAAUAGAAGGAAAGCAACUCCAGAAGGCUUACCCACAGCUGGGUCUUACUUUACAUGUGAUGGGAAGCUGACUUGGAGGAUGUGGUCACCUGAUUUCCAUUUUUAAAAAAGGUAACUUUGGAGACUGGAUUAGCAUUAGAGGGAGCAGGAAACCUGAUUGGCAGUCCAUUAACCGUCGUCUAGCCAAACAGGACGUCGCCUUGGAAGGCCACUGGAGAUGGAGUAAAUCAGAGAGAUGUGGAAUCUGCUUUGGAGGCAGGGCCAGCAGGAUGAAAUAAGAAUCCAGGAUGCUGCUGCAGUCUUGGGGAGGUGCUCACGUGGAGUGUGAGGUCUCGCCGGACCCCAGGCUGGCAGGUGGCCUUUGUCUCCGUGAGUCAGAAGGGCAUCAAACCACGGCCCGAGGUUUAACCGCGAAGCCCUGCCCCUGGCACCGAGCAGGUCCUCCCCCCCCCCACCCCCUUCCCCUCUGCGUUUCAUUUUACUCGUCCAGUCCCAACAGAAGGCUCUUCAUAAGGCACCGUCGUCAGUUUAUAGUGCUUGCAGUGUUUUAACACUUUAAUGACAUGACAGCCAAUUUUAUUCUGUCCUGGGAAUUACUCUCUUCUGUUUCUGUUUCUCUCCCUCCCUCUCUCUCUUCUCCUCCUCCUCCCGUCUCACUGUUCCUGUGAUUAUUUCUUUUGGAAAUAAUUCCUCUCACACUCUGCCUCCAUAAAUCUCUGAAUCCCGGCAGAUGGAACAAGGCUGCUAUUACGAGGGAACAGAAUCAACAGGGAAGCGGCAAGCGGGAGGCAAGCUUUAUGCUCUGUGGUUUCGCCCCAGUAGGAGGACGUGAUGGCACCUCCAGGACAAAAGGUUCAUCUUUUCAACUACUUUGACUUCUCAGGAGCCCCCCAGCCCUGUGGUCUUUUUAUGAGAGAACUGUUUUCACCUCCUUGGCUCUGCACAUGUUUUCUACAUAAUAUUAAACAGUAACCUUUGAGUCCCCACAUACUGGACGCACAGACCACAGUACACACAGACACGCACACACACACACGCACACACACACUCUGGCAAAGAUAAAACAACUUUUAACUUAAUUUGGCUCUUCCUUUUUUUUCUUUAACACCUUGAGAUAUAAUUUACAUGCUGUAAAAUUCACCCAUUUUUAGCCAUGUAGUUCGAUGUUUUUCUUAUUUACCGAGUUGUAUACUGGCUGUUUCUUUUUGAAAAUGGAGCCCGUGGGUGAACAUUUUGACCCCACGUGCUCCCUCCUCACUUUGAAAGGUGACAUCUAAAGUGCAGAGAGCAACUUCUGUUUCACCCCCAAAAUAGUUGUUUUAUUCAUUCUGCCAUUUACAACUUACUUCCUGUGUUUUGAUUCUGAGCUGCUCAGACCUGCUUCUUAGAAGCCAGGUGGGAUUCAUUUUUUACACUGUCACGAAGUUUCUCUUGUGUUAGAGGAAUUUUCUGUUUGCUUGUUUGUUUUGUUAGUGUUUAGUGAGUCUUCAGAUCUUUGUUUCAUCUGCUGGGCUAAUUAGAGAGACUUGAAAUGUAUCUUUGUGACACGAGAGACUAUAUAGAAAUAUUUGGUAUUUAAAGCUCAGCUCAAACGGUCACAGCAUUCUGACUGCUGAGAUUGGUAAAAAGAAAAAAAAAUGAAGUUACCAAGAAAUAGAAAUAGGGCAUGGAGGCCUAGAACUUUUUCCUAAUAUUACAUCUUCAUCUAUAGUUCGGUCUUGAUAUCUGAGUCUUUCUCAUCUGAAAAGCAGAAAUGAAAAUAAUCACUUUAGGAGAUCUGCCUGAGGACUGCAUGAGCUAAUUCACUUGAAAACACCUAGAAUGCUAACAAUUUUUAAAAAUUUAUAAAUGUUCAUUGGAUACAAAUCCUAAGGAACUUCACCAAUGGCAUAAGGAUCGUGUUUUGGCCACGACACGGUACAUUAAUAAAAGCAUAGCACCUGCUGUUGAAGACUGUGUACCAGCUUAACCAAUUGUUCAACGAACAGGUAAUGACGCUUGCUGUGUGCCAGGCACCGGGGAUAGAAUGGUGGACAGGCAGGUACAGUUGGAUGGAAGAGAGAUGUUCAACACAUAGUUGAGCAAAUAAGUAUCUAAGUACAAACUGUGCAAGGGUUAAAGAAACCAUUCUGGUAUGUGUGUAUGCAUGUGUGUGUGCGCAUUUAAAGCAAUUUAAGGUAUAUUUUGCUAGUAAAUGUAUACCUAUGGGCAUAGAGAAAUUUUCUGGAACAACUCAUGAGAAAUUGGUUACAAGUGUUUCUUUUUGUACAUAGAUAGGGGAAUGUCUUCUACUUUUUAUUCUGUAACUUUUCUAUGCAAUUUCAAGUUUCUAACUAUAAGCAUGUACUUUUGUUUAGCUGUUUAAAUAUCAGUAGGCUUCUCUGAUCAGUAGGCUGGGAGUCCAUUAUUAUUUUCUUCAUUAGACUUCUAUUAAAAAACAACCUGUUAUUUAAAAUGAACAAAUGAUUAACCGCUUGCAAUAUUUAACUUGUCAUGCCAAUUAAAUAUUAAAUAUUACACUUGAGAAGACAAAGGUCAUUUACAAGAGUGCAAGACUGCAUCAACCCACACUAAAUUGUUACCACCUGCUCGCGCCCCCAGUUUGCCCAGACAACACUUUCAUUCAACAGAUAUUUACUGAGCGCCUACUGUGUACUAGGUAGGCAUUGUUCUGAGCACUACUAGAUAAAACAAAGCCAUCAGGGAGUCAGGCUAGAUUCUAGUUGGAGGAAACAGACAAAUAAGUAAACCAAAUACAUAUUUAUAUAUAAUAUGUGCUAUAAAAAAUUAAAGCAGGGCUGGCGGGCAAGUGACGGCUGGUGCCCUCUGUUCAUCAUAUAGAAUACACUCUGUAGUUGUAUCACUGGAAAGAAAGACUGGGAGGCCUGAGAAGGUGCCAUUUCAGCCUGGAUGAGGGAAGGAGGGAAUGAGCCAUGCAGAUAAAUGACUGCCAAAAGGACCAGUAAAGGCUCUGAAAUGGGAAAGCUGGAAACCAGCAAAUCUUGGCAGUAAGUACGUGUACUGACCAUUGCACCAUUCAUUCUGUCCAUUUGUCACAGCGUUCAAAACACUUCAUUUAAAAUUUAAAAAAAAAUACUCAAAAUGAACACUGAUAGCUUCAUUAUUGUACAUACAGGGCUCAGAUUAUGUGGUUCUGGGCACUGCUUCUCUUGUUCGAUAUUUAAUAAAAAAUAGUUGAUGUGAACUAUACAUCCUAGUGAAACAGAGAUACAUCUUUAUUAAGACGUGUUUUAAACUUCUUUAGCCAUAUCGUCAUUCCGAUACAUUUUUAUUAUUCUAACAGUAUCUCAUAAAAUGUGUAUUACUGUACUACAUGCCCAUUUCUAGCCACUGAAAAUUAAAUUAGUGAAUAUUAAUUACUUCACAGUCAUAAGGAAAAGGAUCCUGAGAUGCAUUGUUUCCCGUCUACUCUGAGAUGCUUCCCAGCAGGAGGGGCACAACGAUAGGAUUCUGUGGGUGGGUUGCCCUAUAACAGUGGUUCUCAACCUGAGGCGAUCCGAACGCCCUCCCCACCCCCCUUCUAGGGGACACGUGGCAGCUACAGGAGCCGAGGUUACCUGUC